rnacentral:rRNA from 1 species
GAAAAGUUACCAUACUGAACAAAAGUGCGUCUUGCACAAAACUUGGUAAGACAAGGACUUAACUGAAAAUAGCUGCAAACCAGACCAGUUUGUCUUGGGCAGGUUUGGGCUGAAAUCUGGUCCUUCCGAGCCGGUAGCACAGAGAGAGAAGGUGGGAGGCGAAUCUCGUGAAAUUCUCUCUCCACUGCUCGCCGGAAACCAAGAAAUCGCCAACCCACGAAUCUUCCCUCACAACCAGUCCACACCGCCGCGCCAAGUCCCGAUCUUGCCGGCCGAGCUACACUCCGGCCGUCGCCAGUUCCCCGGCUCGAGCCUCCCGCCGCGAAUUCGGACGGCUCGUCGACCCUGCCUGAUGAUGAACAGUAUAUACACCAGCACUAGAGUCUAAUCGUAGCAACUCAGCCGCUCACCUGCAGCAAAUGGAAUCAGGUGAAAACAACAUGGGCUCGAAUGAUGGACCAAACAGCAAAGCUAACUUGGCUGCGAGGCAACGCUUACGGUGGACAGAUGAGUUGCAUGAACAAUUUGUGGAGGCUGUUACUCAACUUGGCGGUCCUGAUAGAGCAACUCCUAAAGGAGUUUUGAGAAUUAUGGGUACACCAGGAUUAACAAUAUACCAUGUGAAAAGUCACCUACAGAAAUACAGGCUAGCAAAGUACAUUCCCGACUCUUCAGCUGAUGGUAACAAGGCUGAUAACAAAGAUCCAGGGGAUUCACUAGCAGGACUUGAUGGAUCCUCUGGAAUGCAGAUAUCUGAAGCCCUGAAGCUGCAGAUGGAGGUCCAAAAGCGGUUGCAUGAACAGCUCGAAGUACAAAGGCAGCUGCAGCUGCGAAUCGAGGCACAGGGAAAGUACCUUAAGAAAAUCAUAGAAGAGCAGCAGCGUUUCGGUGGCGGUGGUAUAAAGUCUGAAACACCUGGUGCAGGAGCUACUGUCACAGUGUCGAGCGAUCAGUUCCCCGAUUCUGAGAGGACAGACCCCUCGACUCCUGCACCGACAUCUGAAUCUGCAUCUCAAGGUGGGGCUUUCAAAAGAGACAGUGGAAGCCAGACUGAAGCAAUCAAGAGCCCAUGUCACGAUGAACCGCUGCUAACUGCAGAUUCCAACUGUCAUCCCGGUUCUCCUACUCUCAGUCCGAAGCAUGAGAGGGCAGCAAAGAGACAGCGAGGUAGCGACGCUGAAUUCCCGGAGGCCGAGUUAUCCCUUCCGCAGCAUAUCUUCGAGUCGAGCUCAGGGCCAGAGUUCCAGCAAUGUUCGGUGCCCUACUACUCGGGUCAUUAGCCUCCCGGCAGCUACAUUUUGGCAGCAUCUUAGAAUGGUGUCAUCUAAGGGGAUAUGUUGUAUGUUGACAAAAGUUGUUAGGUGUUUUCAGGUGGUUGUUUACAUGAUGCAUACUUACACAUGACAUCUAUAUCUUGCAUUUGUAGCGCCUUGACUUGUAACCUUAUUGGCAGAUGAGUUGACCAGUUUGGGUGGGGUGGGCACUGUUAGCCUGUUUUUACAUGCUAUGUUUUCUACUCUUGUUCUUGAGUCUUAACACCAAGUUUAUCUUGCUAUGCUAUUUGUUAUGAGGGUGAUUGAUGAUCAGAAACAACGCGUUUACCAG